AAUUGGAGGCCAGUGAAUGGCAAGACUAGGAACACCUUUACUUUGUGGUGUCAAAAAAACUUUUCGUCUAAGUGAAAAGACUUAGAUAACAAAGGAAGACGAAAAGACCCCGCGGAGCUUUACCUCUUCUCGCGCUUCUGUUUACACACUUAAAAGUGCUUAAGGUUUGAUUGGGGCAAUCUCGGAAUCAUCAAAGCUUCCGAUUCUUUAGAAAUCACAUCUAAAACUUACUAAGGACCAAAAAGAAGCUACCCCGGGGAUAACAGCGUAAUCCAACUCAAGAGUACAUAUCGAAAGUUGGGUUUGCGACCUCGAUGUUG
rnacentral:rRNA from 1 species